AUGGUUUCUGAUUUUUGCACCUGCAAAUGCUAAAGUCCUCUCUGCAGAAGGACAAGAUGGUGCAAUAGGAGUUGGAUUUUAUACACGGAGUUCAACUUUAUACAUGUUAAGUUUGUAGAGGUUAUGAGACAUCCAUAAGGACUUGCUAAGCAGACAUUUGAUUGACUAGGUCCUAGAAUUCAGAUGCAAGGUCCUGGUUAAACAGUCACUGUGGAGUUCACUCAUAAUUAACUAGCAACUGAAGUUGUUGUUGAGAAUUAAUGAGACCUAUUGAGAUAUUAAAAAUAAAAGGAACUAGGGUAUAACUAAUAUUUAAAGGUUAUGAGAACGGGAAAGCCAGUACAAGAGAACAUGCAAAGACAGAGGGGUAAUAUGACAUCAGAGAAAUCAAUGGAAGAAACCAUUUCAAACAAUCAACUAUGUCAAAAGAAUUCUGAACAGUUAAGACAGAAACUGGAAAUCUACUGAUUGUAAGAACUGGACAACAGGAUGAGGGCUGGAGGAUGAGGAGGUGUGAUUUGGGUGUUUGUCCCAUGUAGGCAAAGAAUCGGGCAUAGAUGGGUGAUAGUGGACACUGGGGACUCAGCCCCGGUGGAGAGACACUUACUGUGAGGGACUGAAGGGAAUGGUUUGUGGCUAUUUAUAGUGACGGUGGUUAGAAAUGGAAGGGAUUGCUGCAGGAUGGGGUCAUUUGAUUUUUCCUGUAAAAUAGAGGUGAUGGUUAUUUGCUGAGGAUGAUGGGGCAGGAGAAGUAGAACGAAGCUUUGUGAGAAGGAUAAAGCAUGAAAAGCGGGACUAGAAGUUACCUGGUGGAAGGCUGUGGUCUAGGGCCCCAUCUCCAGAGAACAGUUCAGAGACAAGAAGUGUUCCUUGCGUUCAUUUGUUUGUUUUAUAGCGAUGAGGAUCAAACCCCAAGGGUUUAUAAGUAUUUGAUUAAGUUCUCUACCACUAAGUCACAUUCCUCAGUAGUCUCUGAGAACAGAGAAAGACUCUGAUUAUCCUUCUAGUCCAACACUUAUACCUCCCAGCUGGACUGCAGCAGAAUUCUCACUGGGCCUAAGCCUCACCCAAGUGCCCCCAUACUGUGUUUUCUACAUAGCUCUCCUGUUCUCUCUCUCUUUCCUUCCCUGCUUCCUGAUGGAUUGUAGUAUGAUCAGCAGCCUCAGACUCCAGGGCUAAGACCUUUCUUCCAAGAAGGCCUAUUAUAGUCAAACUUUGAUCCAAAUAGACCCCUCUUUCCUAGCUGGCAGUGUUGGCAUACACCUUUAAUCUCAGCAUUUGGGGGACAGAGGCAGGCAGAUCUCUGAGAGUUUGAGGCCAGCCUGGUCUACAAAGUGAGUUCCAGGAGAGCCAGGGUCACACAGAGAAACCUUGUCUCAGAAAACCAAAAAAUAAAAUAACCUUAUCCCCUAAGUUGCUUUUGAUAGGAAUUCUGUUACAGCAAGGAGAAAAGUAAUGAAUGCAGUCCUCAGUGGAUUGGUUGGUGCACAGCCCUGUCUGUGAGGGUAGAGGUUCUUUCCUAGUCUACUGAUUCUAAUGCUGAUUCCAGAAAUAAUGUCUUACCUGCCCCUUUGAGGCAUCCCUUAGGCAAAACAGACUGACAUAUACUUAAGUAGCACAGAACGCUUGGAGAUGGGAUUUUCACAAAAGAAUGGGGAUAAAAAUAGUGAUCUAAGAUAGUGGAGGGGAGAAAGGAGGACAAUUGGGAGAUAAGUCUGGGCAGAUUUAUCAUCUCGGGAGAAGACUGCUGGAUAAUUCGGGGUCUAUAAGGGCAUCUGUUGGUCAAGGAGCAGACACUUCAGAGUAUUUGCGGGAGGCAGUGGUAGAUAGUAUAUUAAAACAAUGAAACUCUAAGUCGGAGAGUUGGGGAGUGGAGAGCAUGUAUGAACAGCAGGAAGCUGAGUCAGGACCAAGAAAUAGCUAAUAUAUGAGGACACAGAGGACAGUUCCAGUCGUCUUCAUACUUUGAAGGGUGUCAAAAUAACAGGCAGAGCUUAUUACAAUACAGGUCCUUAGGUCACAGCCCCAGAGUUAGUCAUUGAUAUGGGAUGGGGCUGAGAAUUGCAUUAGAAGAUUUUUCUUCAUGUAGAUGGUCCAAAGACCACACCUUUAGACCGUAGAUGUAAUAGAUCAGUGAUUAAUGUGGCAAUGAAAAUAGUGAUGACAAGCUACAGUGGAUUAAUCUGAAACAUUUCCUGAAGCCUGCCAGGGCCUGUGCUAACCACCAGUGAGCCUGACUCCACUGACCAUCAACUCGACAUCUGGGGCCUCAACACAUUAAGCAUGGAGAUGCCAUGUGAGUCUGAUCUUACUUCCAAUGUUGCCACCUAAGUCCCAGAAAGCGAGCAUGUCACUGGGUCCAGAAACCCUUACUGUAUGUGGUGGUUUGAAUGAGGCUCACAUUUAACACCCAGUCCCCAGUCAGUGUCUGACUAGGGAGGCGGGACAGCCUUGCUUGCAGGAAGCGUGUUACUGGAAGUUGUGAGAGUCCAGAGCCUCAGACCGCUUCCACUUUGUUCUCUCCUUCAUAUUGAAGGUUGAAGAUGUGAUCUCUCAGCUUCGCACUCCGCCUGCCUGCUGCCUUACUGCUCCCACCACACAGUCUCUCCUGGAAGCCCAAACCCAAAUAAACUCUUCCUGCUAUAAAUUGUCCAUGGCCAGGUAUUUUAUAGCACAGUAGGAAAGUAACCAAGUGCACUAUGGCACACUCCUUUCAGCAGCCUCCAGCAGGGUCUUUCCAUCCAUGAAUUUGGAGGCUGUUUACGCUUCACCCCAUGGAAUGAGAGGCCUGAAGAACCGGAAGAAGCAUUGGGGCUUGUGCUGUGGGGUCUCAGUAGUGAUAUAAUCAGGCACCUGGCUCCUCUGACGAGCAGCAGUGGGGCUAGAACAACAAGGGCUGUCAGGCAUGCAGACAGCUUGGUUAGGACAGCAGUGACAAAGAGCUGUUGAUAAACCUUAGGUCUCAGACUUCAACAGGCCAGGAUACAAAGUCGUCAUUGGGUCAAUGUCCCCAAACUUCCCUAGUCAACUAGCAGGGAUUCCAGUCAUUUCCAGAGUUUUCCUUAAAAAUGUCCAGAAAGAGAUGACAGAGCUGAAAUUUGGGACACUCUGAUGAGAGGGGAUUCAUUGAUUCUUGGCUAAACUCUGUAUUUGAUUUUUUUUUUUUUUUUUGAGUCCUGUCUCACUAUAUAGCGCUGGCUGGCCUGGAACUCAGAUCCUAACACCUUUGCCUUGCAGCAUUGUCUUAAGUGUCUUAACCAGGACAUCAAGGCUCUAAACCUUGGCUUUGUUGCUGUUACAGUGUCAUGGCACCCCUCAUAUUUCCUUCCCCACCGAAUGAUGUUCCUAGGAGGGUUUACACGUGCCCCAAGAAUCACUCCUGGCUGCCACUUGCUGCUAAUGGAGUUAUGAGCCACAUGGUCGAUGACUUUCAGACAGAAACAUUAGUGUGUGACAAGGGUAGUGUUAGAAAUGCAGUCUGGACAGACCUUGGGAACUACAGUAGGAAAGUGAGUGGCAUUUUAGAUCAGAGCCAGACAAAAUAGAAUGGCAAAAUUCUUCCUCUGGCACCAGUGGUCUAGCGGGCCAUCAAGUAUUCUAGACUAAUGGCCCCAAUAAACACACUCAACCCAUUAGUCCUUUUGAGAGGAGUAAAACUACUCCCCACCCGAGACACACACACACACACACACACACACACACACACACACACACACACACACACACUUCUGCACUUCUUGAGAUGAACCUGAGUUUACACCAGGCCCUUUCCUCUAAUUAGUUAUGGGGGGAAAGUUAGGCCACCUCUAAAACCCCGUGUGUGUCCUGGCUGGGGACUAUCCCAGGGCAAGCCCUAACAGAGGCAGAGACCUACAAGAACGUUGCAUAUUUGUCUGGUCAAGCCUUAGAAAGUCUGUAUAGUGCCCUGUCCUAUAUCCUUGGAGCACGGUAAACUUAGCUGGAAAUUAGGGUGAAUUAAGCACAGUUUGGUAGUAGUGAACAUUCUCCAAAAAACUUCACAGUGCUACUUAGUGGAUCUGGUAUCUGUUCUCACCAAUAAAUAACUGUGUUCACAUCAGAGUCACCACAGAUGCCUUUCCCCCAAUACACAUUUCAUAUACUCGCUUUGCACCACCAUUAUUCAAAGACUAUAUAUUUCUUCCAACACACUGUGCAUGAAACUUAGAAACCUAUUUUCUUACCUAGGUCUUAGGUAACCUAUUUUUUUAAAAGAGUUAUUUAUUAUAUAUAUGUGCACUGUAGCUAUCUUCAGACACCAGAGGAAGGCAUCAGAUCUCAUUACAGAUGGUUGUGAGCCACCAUGUGGUUGCUGGGAUUUGAACUCAGGACCUCUGGAAGAGCAGUCAGUGCUCUUAGCCACUGAGCCAUCUCUCCAGCCCUUGACAAUCUUUUUGUCUAGGUGUUUACUUGAGUCCUUUACUAUAUCCCUUAUUAAAGUUCAAAACGUUUACCUGAGUUUCAUGAACCAUUUUAGCAAAUUAAUUGAACCCAGGCGAGAGUACUAGGGAUCCCAAUACAUAGAUGAUGUAUGGAAGUGUAGGUCAUCUUCUGUGCUUUAAACUGGUAUCAGGUGGGAACUGAACCCUCAAACUCUGGGGCCUGACAGAGUUCACUAUGUAACUCUGGCUGGCCUGGACCUCAUAGAGAUCCACCUGCCUCUGCUUCCAAGGACUGGGAUUAAAGGGCACCACUCGGCUUCUUUGUUACUUUUCAAGACUGAGCUUUGACUGCAUUCAAACUUAGAAGUAGCUCUCAGUGGGUACAACCUUGGUCUCUGGACAGUCCAUCCCCAGCUUUUGUCUUUAGCUUCCUUCAUUCUCUUAGCUCAUGCCACUGCCUCCUCCUCGCUUUCCUUAGUGUGUUGUUUCAGAGCAACAUUGUUGCAAGUAAUUUUUACUCUCUACCGGCCUGUAGUUCUAGGAAGUGACCACGCUAACAGCCCCCUCCCAACUUCCCUUGAAUCCACAGAUAAAAGACACACACCUUUUCCUUUUCAACUUGCCUUCUUGACACAAUUGCUAAAUUCCCCUGACCACCCACCUGUAAGAGCGGCCUCUAUGACCACUCCAUUUUGAGAUCUCACAUGGUUGCCAGGUUCUACUCUCCCCAAAGCCUGGGGAAACUGUUCUCCUACCUUUUGACCCUUUGCCUCAAGGGGUCCGGAAGUCCCACCUCUCCCUCCCUCCCAGCAAUUGGCCCAUGGCUUUCUUUACUGACAGAUCAAGAACCAAUUGGGAAACAGAACCUUAGCAUCAGAACCGCCCCCUACACGACACGUUCGUGUUUGUGUUACAGAGUACGUGGAAUGGGUGCUUUGGUUCUGAGCUUCUUUUCUUUUUAAGGGCUAUCUGACAACAUAUUGGUGGACGUCUUUAUUUUUUUCUUCAAAGCACAGUUUCUCUGUAAUCCUGGAUGUCUUGGAACUCUGUAGACCAGGAUGGACCAGACGGGUUUUGAACUCAAAGAUCCAUCUAUCUCUGCCGCAGGCGCCACAAUGCCCAGAUUCCAACUACACAACCCUUCUGCUCUUCACCAGAGUACCAGCAACUUCUGUGAGCAUGCGCUUCUCAUAGAAGGUUAUAGCACUAUCGCAGAACUACCAAGAAUGCAUCUAUCCACAAAACAGUGUUGACUAUCUAUGCCAUGUGGUUGAUGAAUGAGAAGAAAAAGCCAUACCAACUCUUGAGAAGUUCCAGUGGAUCCAACACCUUCACAUAAACACAGAUGAGGGCAAAACAUGGAUACGCAUGAAGUAAAAUAAACAUUUCUCCAAAAAGAUUUCAUUUUCCCAGAUACGUCAAGGUUUGUGUCAAGAUUUCCAGACAUGUGCUGUUCAAACUAAAUCUUGAGGGGAUAUGACUUGGGUCUGCCAAGAUGAGAUUUUGGCUACCAUCUUCUGUUUGGGUACAGAUAGAGAGAAACGGGCUGGCGAGCUACCUCAGUGAGUGAACAUGCUUGCUGCCAAUCUUGAAAACCCGAGUUCAAUCCCUGGGACCCAGAGCUGGAAGGAAAGAACCAAGUCUGGGUCUUUCUGUGUAGCCCUGGCUACCCUGGAACUUACUCUGUACACCAGGUGGCGAUGCUGGUUUGUCAACUCCUGAGAUUCCCAAAGCCUGAGCCAAGCGCCUGAAGGUAUGUGCAUGAAUGUGUGUGUCUCAGCACAUGUAUGAAGGUCCGAGGACAUUUGAGGGAGUUGGUUCCUCUCCUUGCAUCAUGUUGGCCCCAGGGAUUGAACUCACAUUCUCAGGUUUGGUGACAGAUGAGCCAUCUUGCUAGCCUGACUUUUCUUUCUUUAGCUGGGCCUGAUAGAACACCAGGGUUCUCUUUGUUAACCACCUGCUAAAUAAACGAUAUGUCCUUGUGUUUCCAUGGGGGGUUGGUUCUCUUACUUGCUGGCUGUACUAAAAUUAAUGUAUACUUGGGUCUUUAUGUAGAGAGGCACAUUGUUUCUACAUAACCAACACAUGUCUCCUGUAUACUUUGUACUUCAAAUCGCCUCUACUACAGAAUACAACAGUAAGUAAUGUGUAAAUGGUUAUUCCUUAUUUUUAAAAAGGUCCCCAUUCUGUUUUGAUAUUUUGUUGCUAUUGUUUGUUUUGAGACACAUUUCUCUAUGUGGCCCUGGCAGUCCUAGAACUCACUCCGUAGACCAGGUUGACCUGGAACUCAGAGAUCCACCUGCUUCUGCCUCCUGAGUGUUGGGACUAAAGGUGUGCGCCAUCACUGCCUGACUUGAUGUAAUUUUUUUUAUAUCUUUUACAACAUAAGGUUUUAUGUAUCUCAGGCUGCCUUCAAACUAACCGUGUAGGUGAAGACGAUGUUGAACUCUUUCUCUUCUUACCUCUCCCUCCUGGAUGCCGGGAUCACAGGACUGCACCACCUAUGUGGUCCAUGUGAUGCUGGGGAGGAGCCAGUGCCUUCAUCCCUGGUAGGUGCAUGCUCCAUUCUCCUGGCUAUAGUUGUUAGAACUACAACCUGGGAGGUACAGAGUUUUAAUGCCUCUUAUCUCUCUAUGCCUGGUGGACAUUAAGCGAUAUUGGCAUAGCCAAAUUGAAUGGUUCUGAAGCCAUGAGGCUGAGGGACUUGAGAACCUGUUACAGCAUGGCCACCUAGAAACACGUGGACAUUCUUUUUAAAAAUGCCCACUUCUCCUAGUGAACGACACACUUCUUUGUUUUGUUUUGUUUUUUAAGUCAUUAUUUUUAACUGUGUGUCUGCUGGUGCUCACAGAGGCCACAGGCAUAGGGUCUCUCCAGAGCUGGGGUUAAGAUAGUUAUGAGUCACCUGACAGAGAUGCUCCUUCUCAGGGAUUCUACAAGUGCACAUUCUUAACUGCUGAGCCGUCGCUCCAGUACCAGAACCAUGCGUUUCUUGGGGGAAAGAUCUCUUCCCUUCAUUUCUUUAUUCACGGGCUAGCAAUGUACCUGUUACCUGACAAGCAACCAUGGGAGCAAGUGAAUGGGAGAUGCUUCUGGCAGAGAGGAGGCUGUCCCAUAGUUACGAGGCUGUCCCACAGUGCAGACAUAGCGGCCUCUGCAGGUAGAAGUCUCAAGGAGGCUGGUCUCUUGAAUGAAAAGGAUCAAAGACGGAACCAAGAAGGAAAUGAACUACUUUCACAGGCAUUAACCUUCUCUCCUGAAACACAGAUGGGGAUGCAGGAGAAGGGGUUCCUUUGCCACGUGAGAGGCUGAAUAUCUGUAUUAUGCCGGCUUCGUGUCCAGAAUAGUGCUGAACAUACAGAAGGUCCUUAAAUAUUUGCUAAGCAAAUGAACCACCAUCUUGUACUAACCAAAGAUUCAUUCUGCAAAUAUUUAUCAAAAGUAUCUGUGUGUGUUAGCUUUGAGUGAAAAACCAUAGCUCAGCUCCCACCAAGGAAUAGAUAGAUCAUCCUGGUCAGGAGCACGGAGCGGAGCCUAGCCCUGUAAAUUUGAAACUCGGCUCUGCCUCCCACUUAACUUUACUGUGCUUCUGUUUCCAAGCCUGCAAAAUGGCGGACGAGGCACAAAACGGCACAAACAUAAAGGGGUUAUUUUGACAGCUAAGAGAACUAACACUUGCUAUCAACCUCUUCCGUGCUGACACUGAUUACUGAGAUCCCAUGUGGGUUUUAGGGGUGGCGCUCAUGCUGUCAGGUUUGGCAGCCAGCACCUUUACCUUCUAAGCCGUCUUCCAGGCCCCAUAUUGUCCUAUUUUGAGGGGAUUUUAAGAGCCAGAUUUCUUCAUAUUAUUUUCACAUUGCUUAUGAUUUUUCCUUCCCUCCACCCUGGUUGGUCAACUGGCCAUGCUUUAAUCCUUCUCUGCUGAUUGAUGAGUGCUGUCCAGGAUGCCAUGAGGAUGUUUUAAAGACUGCCUUGCCCUGACCUGGAAUGCUGGACAGGACAUGCAGAAGUUACCCAAGCACAGCCAUGGCAGGGUUGGCACAUCAUAUGUCAAAGCUUGGAGCCAGGGAGACCCUGGGGUGUAGAGGGGAUGAUGUCUGUUGUGUGGUUGGCACAUAGGUCACAUGAGGUGUGCAUAGGGAGGGAAGAAGAGGUAGGAGGGAUGCACAGGGCCAAGGUGAUACAAACUUCAGUUGAAGGGCAUUAGAAGUUGCAUUAAGUAGACUUUACACGUGAU